GACGAACGCUGGCGGCGUACCUAAUACAUGCAAGUCGAGCGAAUGGAUUAAGAGCUUGCUCUUAUGAAGUUAGCGGCGGACGGGUGAGUAACACGUGGGUAACCUGCCCAUAAGACUGGGAUAACUACGGGAAACCGGGGCUAAUACCGGAUAAUAUUUUGAACUGCAUGGUUCAAAAUUGAAAGGCGGCUUCGGCUGUCACUUAUGGAUGGACCCGCGUCGCAUUAGCUAGUUGGUGAGGUAACGGCUCACCAAGGCAACGAUGCGUAGCCGACCUGAGGGAGUGAUCGGCCACAGUGGGACUGAGACACGGCCCAGACUCCUACGGGAGGCAGCAGUAGGGAAUCUUCCGCAAUGGACGAAAGUCUGACGGAGCAACGCCGCGUGAGUGAUGAAGGCUUUCGGGUCGUAAAACUCUGAUGUUAGGGAAGAACAAGUGCUAGUUGAAUAAGCUGGCACCUUGACGGUACCUAACCAGAAAGCCACGGCUAACUACGUGCCAGCCGCCGCCGUAA
rnacentral:rRNA from 1 species